CACACAGCAUAAACAGCAGCACACAGAUCAAUGUGGCCACAAAGACCAAAAAUGUCAAACCGACACUCUGCCACAUUUUUAUUCUCUCAGGAGAGCUGUG